UACGUAGGAGGCAAGCGUUGUCCGGAUUUAUUGGGCGUAAAGCGUGCGCAGGUGGUGCAGGAAGUGAUGUGUGAAAGCUCUUGGCUUAACUGAGAGAGGCCAUGUCAAACUCCUGGACUUGAGGGUCGGAGAAGCAGACGGAAUUCCGGGUGGAGUAGUAAUAUGCGUAGAGAUCCGGAGGAACACCAGUGGCGUAAGCGGUCUGCUAGACGAUGCCUGACGCUGAGGCACGAAAGCGUGGGGAGCGAACCGG
rnacentral:rRNA from 1 species